rnacentral:misc_RNA from 1 species
UCCGGUUUGUCACCGGCAGUCUCACUAGAGUGCCCUUGCGUAGCAACUAGUGACAAGGGUUGCGCUCGUUGCGGGACUUAACCCAACAUCUCACGACACGAGCUGACGACAGCCAUGCAGCACCUGUGUCCAGGCUCCCUUUCGGGCACACCGAACUCUCAUCCGGCUUCCUGGCAUGUCAAGGGUAGGUAAGGUUGUUCGCGUUGCAUCGAAUUAAUCCACAUGCUCCACCGCUUGUGCGGGCCCCCGUCAAUUCCUUUGAGUUUCAGCCUUGCGACUGUACUCCCCAGGCGGCAUAUUUAACGCGUUAGCUCCGGCACAGACAGAAUGAACUGCCUACACCAAAUAUGCAUCGUUUAGGGCGUGGACUAC